CAGCGCCACGAGUGGCAAUCGCAAUUAUUGGGCCUAAAGCGUCCGUAGCCGGUUUGGAAAAUCUUUUGUGAAAUCGUUCGGCUUAACCGAACGGCGUGCAGAAGACACUACCAGACUAGGGACCGGGAGGAGUCAGAGGUAUGCAGGGGGGAGCGGUAAAAUGCUAUAAUCCCUUGUGGACCACCUGUGGCGAAGGCGUCUGACCAGAACGGAUCUGACGGUGAGGGACGAAAGCUAGGGGAGCGAACCGGAUUAGAGACCCGAGUAGUCC
rnacentral:rRNA from 1 species